AUAGAUAUGGGAGGCUUUUUUGGUUGUCAUCUGAAUGUUGGCAUUGGAGCGAUCCUGUUGCUCCUAUUUCUUGCUGCCAUUCUUGUUGGUUUGCUGUUGGGGUUUGCUAGUCUUGUUCGGCUCUCAUAAUGGCAUCCUGAGUGUUUGUUCUAAUGCCCCAGUCACCAAGCAGGGAGAGAAGGCCUUCGAACAUUUGAGUUUAUCGGUACCAAUUGGCCUAUUGCUACCCAUUACCGAUUCAACAAAUCAUUGGUACCCCCUAAAAGAGUAUCUAAUUGUGAAGACAGUGCCUUUGGGGGCUUCACAAAGAAGAAAGAAGAAGAAACAUGAAACCUCCAAGUUCAACACUCCUGGCCUAAACAGCAAGCAAGAUACAUUUUGUCCAAUGAUUUGUCAUCACACCCUUGUAGAUGGAAGCCAAAGUUUUCAAUGAUGAAAAUGUUGAUCCUGAAGAGGAUAUUGAUGGUAAGGAUGAAGAAGGGGAAGCGAUUAUUCUAAUGCAGCAUUAGGAUUGUGCUAUGAAAUAUGUUAGAUAUUUUUGUCAAAAUAUGUAAUUGGCUGAUUUUGGUGAUCAAAACCUUGUAAUUGCAUCCCACUUGUAUUAUGGCAUCUUCCAAAGAACGUUGCAACAGUUUCAGGGAAGCCCCAUCCGCACAGGAACAAGGAUCAUCUGGACGGAUACAAGGGCAAUCCGGACAUGAUGCAAGAUGAAAUUCUCCAAUACUAAAUCCCAAGAGCUCCGUUCGCUGGCCAUGCGCAAGCCUUCCGGACGUGAUGGCUGAACAAGAAAACCCGACAGCCUCGUCUGCAAUCUUGUUUGCAAGCCAUCCCAACGAACUCACUUCCCGUCUGGAUGCCCCGUGUAUUUUAAGUUUAUUUUCAAACAGAUUGUGUUUCGAUUAGACUAGGGGUCUCUAGUCUAUAUAUAUAGAUCUCUACAAAUCUGUAUAACUACGAAUUUUGCAUCUAGAGUUCGACAAUUUGUGCUAAGAGAGUCUUUUGUUAUAGAGAGUUAA